UAGGGUCCAUUUAAUGCCCGAACCGUUAAAUAUAUAGCGAUACUAUAGCCGGUUAAAUUAUCUGAAGUUUUUAUUUUUCAAAAUAUGAUGUCGGGCUGUCCAUCUUCCCUCUCUUCUCAGCCAACUAUUCUACACAGACCACCAUAACCCACCUAGCUUCUUCCCCGGUUUGUGUGAUCGGAGGAUCAAAAGAACGGAGCAAACCCCCUUCUUUUCCUAUAUAUAGACUAAUCCAUAGCCUAUUUUGGAUAAAUCCUAAAUUCUAGGAGAUUUGUCCCGUCCAUCUCAUCUCCCCGCCGCCACUUCUCGCCCCCUCCUCGGAUCUGCCGCCAGCCUCCACCCACCAAAUCCCACGACCCAAGCCACAACCACCCCCAUCCGCUUCUCUGAACCGUUGGAUGUAAGAUCGAAUGGUCGGGAGAGCUCCCCUGCAGCCUCCCAGAUCCACCCGCUCCAGACCGAGAGGAGCUCGAUCUCGAGGUCGACCCUGAGCUCCUCCUGGGUCAACACCUCCAGCUCCAUCGGUCAGCCCUUGCCGGAGCAAGUCAGCACCUCGUCGGCACCUCUCUCCUUCCUCUAAUUAUGUCCCCUUCUUGUUUGCUUCUUCGCUGUCAGGCACACAUCAGAGCUCGCCCUCUGCUUCUUGGGUGCCGUUGGAGUUGCCAUGACACUGUCGGUCCCGCAAAGUCCCAUGCCUCCUCGAGCUUCUCCUCCGAUGGAGCCCUCUUCACCUCAUCCAUGAACUGUUGGAUCCGGUCCCGCCAAACCUCCCUUGCAGUGUCGCCAUCGCCGCCAAGCUCGGCCCCACCCUCGCUGACCACUCUCCGGAACCGCAGGAGCAGCCAUGGAAGCCCAAAGCUCCUGCCCGGUCCGGCCCCGGCCUCUGCCUCCUCAUUCGGCCUCCAGCGCCACGCCCCCGACCUCUCGCUGACCCGUCGGCCACCGCGUCGCUGGAGUUGGAGUCGUGGUUGCUACCGAUGCUGCCCUCUUUGUGGGAGAAUGACUCCGCUCGAGCCCCUCCGCCCGUUGACCGAUGUCUAGGCCGCGCCCAGCCGCUCCCCGUGGCCCAUCCCGUCCUCGUGCCCGAUGGCCGAGUUCGCCGGCCUCCUCUCCUCCAUGGGCUGAAGCCCAUGAGGUGGGGCCCCAACCCAACUUGUCUUCGUUAUUAUUCACGUAGAGCGAUCAAUAGUUAUCAUGUGCGCAUAGGGCUAGGUCUGUUUCGGCCCAGUGCCAUUUUUUUGCAGUGCGAAUUUAACCAAUUAUCCAUGAUUU